UGCGGAGGGUCCAAGCGUUGUCCGGAAUCACUGGGUGUAAAGGGUGCGCAGGCGGGCUUAUAAGUCAGGGGUGAAAGCCACCGGCUCAACCGGUGAAUUGCCCUUGAUACUGUAAGUCUUGAGUCCUGGAGGGGCUGUCGGAAUUCGUGGUGUAGCGGUGAAAUGCGUAGAUAUCAGGAGGAACACCUGUGGUGUAGACGGCUUACUGGACCGCAACUGACGCUGAGACACGAAAGCGUGGGUAGCAAACAGG
rnacentral:rRNA from 1 species